rnacentral:rRNA from 1 species
UGGCUGAAAAGGAUCGGGAUGAGCUGUGCCUAGGGGUGAAAGGCCAAUCAAACUCGGAGAUAGCUGGUUCUCUGCGAAAUCUAUUUAGGUAGAGCGUCAUCCGAAUACCCUCGGGGGUAGAGCACUGGAUGGGUAAUGGGGCCCCACAGGCUUACUGAUCCUAACCAAACUCCGAAUACCCGUGAGUACUAGUCGGCAGACACACAGUGGAUGCUAACGUCCAUUGUGGAGAGGGAAACAACCCUGACCUCCAGCUAAGGCCCCUAAUUCAUGGCUAAGUGGGAAAGCAGGUGGGACGACCAAAACAACCAGGAGGUUGGCUUAGAAGCAGCCAUCCUUUAAAGA